rnacentral:rRNA from 1 species
GACGAACGCUGGCGGCGUGCUUAACACAUGCAAGUCGAACGGAAAGGCCCUGCUUUUGUGGGGUGCUCGAGUGGCGAACGGGUGAGUAACACGUGAGUAACCUGCCCUUGACUUUGGGAUAACUUCAGGAAACUGGGGCUAAUACCGGAUAGGAGCUCCUGCUGCAUGGUGGGGGUUGGAAAGUUUCGGCGGUUGGGGCUGGACUCGCGGCUUAUCAGCUUGUUGGUGGGGUAGUGGCUUACCAAGGCUUUGACGGGUAGCCGGCCUGAGAGGGUGACCGGCCACAUUGGGACUGCGAUACGGCCCAGACUCCUACGGGAGGCAGCAGUGGGGAAUAUUGCACAGUGGGCGGAAGCCUGAUGCAGCAACGCCGCGUGCGGGAUGACGGCCUUCGGGUUGUAAACCGAUUUCGCCUGUGACGAAGCGUGAGUGACGGUAAUGGGUAAAGAAGCACCGGCUAACUACGUG